rnacentral:tRNA from 1 species
GAGGGUAUAGCUCAGUUAGUAGAGCACAUGCUUAGCAUGCACAAGGUCCUGGGUUCAAUCUCCAGUACCUCCG